rnacentral:miRNA from 1 species
GGUAGCAGCUUGCUGCCUUUAAAAGGCAGCAAAACUGCUGCCUUAAAAAGGCAGCUGAAUUUAAAAAAAAUAAAAAAAAUAAAAAAAAUAAAAAAAUAAAUUUUGAAGGCAAAACUGCUGCCUUUUAAAGGCAGCAGUUCGCUGCCUUAAAGGUAGCAUGCUGCUGCC